rnacentral:tRNA from 1 species
GGGAGUGUGGCUCAGUGAGCAGAGCGCUUGCCUAGCAUGCACGGAGCCCUGGGUUCAAUCCCCAGCACCG